GCUGUGGCUCAGUGGUAAGAGCAUCUGCUUUGCGUGCAGGAGGUCCCAGGAUCAAUCCCUGGCAGGAACU